rnacentral:misc_RNA from 1 species
GGAGAUUGUUCUGAAGAGGGGUACCAGUAAUCAGAAGGCGGUAAUUUGUACUGUAUAGUCUCAUUGUUUUCGAGAGAAGAGAGUUCUCAUUUUUUAUGCGAUGUGCCUCAUCAAUGAUAACAUAGCGCCAGCUGAAGCGCUUCAAUGCAUUUUUUUCUUUGAUGGCCAUUUCAAAGCUAGUCACACAAACAUCAAAUUUCCCUGCCACUAACAACUCUUCCACUAUGUGUUUCCUUUCAUCUUGACUUCCAAGAAGCUUUACAGCACGUAGAAUAGGACAGAAGCGACGAAUCUCCCUCAUCCAGUUGCCCAGAGUUGACUUUGGUGCUACCACCAUAUGGGGGCCAGUAAUU